ACAUGUGUUUUGUUCUGGACAAACUUGCUUUGGCGGUGGGCCCCUGCCUGCCGCCAGAGGACAUAAACUUACAACCAAAUUUUUUAUAAACUUGUCACGAGAUUAUUUUUAAUAGUCAAAACUUUCAACAACGGAUCUCUUGGUUCUCGCAUCGAUGAAGAACGCAGCGAAAUGCGAUACGUAAUAUGAAUUGCAGAUAUUCGUGAAUCAUCGAAUCUUUGAACGCACAUUGCGCCCUCUGGUAUUCCGGAGGGCAUGCCUGUUUGAGCGUCGUUUCUCCCUCAAACCCCUAGGGUUUGGUGUUGAGCAAUACGACUUGGGUUUGCUUGAAAGAUGAUAGUGGUAUAAGGCGGAGAUGCUUGACAAUGGCUUAGGUGUAACCAAAAACAUUGCUAAGGCGGUCUCUGGCGUCGCCCAUUUUAUUCUUCAAACUUUGACCUCAAAUCAGGUAGGACUACCCGCUGAACUUAAGCAUAUCAUA
rnacentral:rRNA from 1 species